GCGUUGGCAAGGGAGUAGAGACUUGUACACAGAGUUUUUUUCUUUUUUCUUUUUGAGACUUGUAUCUUCGAAGUGGACCUCAGGGUGAGGGUGCCGUGACGCGGCGGCAGAGGGGCUUCGAGUCCCUACCUCCCCGCAUGGGAUGAGGAGCUGGUCCGCCGUGGGUCGCGCAGGCGGGGAUGACCGGCGAGGCGGAGCGUCCGCUGCCCCCUGCUCCGGCGCCGAUUUCAGCUUAAUAGUUUUUCCUCGACACAGAGUACGUUAAGUUUCCUAAAUGUUCGGUACAGUCUUCUAAGACGAUUUUGCAACGAUCUCGUCCACCGACCGACCCUCCACUUUUUACUCCCGCUGUAAGACUUUAACGUGUCCCGUACCUUCCACUUCUUGAAACGGUUUCCCGAACUCAAGAAAGUCGAACAACGACGACAACGCCUCCUUCUUCCAGUGGUGGGUCUAGAAGUAGAACAACCAACCUUAUUACACUUUUAACUACACACCUGAGUGAGUCAGUCACCAAAUUGUCUAUUACUAAAGUAGGAACGACGUUUCUAGUUACUUGAGUUCGAUCCUCCGGAAAACUCGUUCUUUUUUCGAUGACGGGUCCUCAUCGAGAGCAAUUAGUUUUCUAUAGGAAAACAUAAAACACUUUUAACGUAUACGGCGAGGUUUUCGUCCUAAGCAGGUCAUAUAUAAGACCCUAUUUACUACCAAACCGCUACGAUAACCAAGAAGUACUCUUCAAGUUCCUCCUAAAGACUAUAAUAAAAUAACAAUUACUCAGUACGGUCAUUCGAAAGACAUAAACAAGCGGCACUUCUCGUUACCCCGUAACGUGUGAAUGGAUACAUAUGACGAUGGACUAAUAGCAACCAGAGAACAUAUUUCCGGAACGAUAGUAAUACAUACCAGGAAGCAGGGGUUACACAUCAUACUUGCCAGAAAACUGGACACCUUACAUAAGGAUUAGGACUAGAUAUCUUGACGGAAAAACUUGAA
rnacentral:rRNA from 1 species